GCCUGGCUUGCGCAGUUGGCUAGAGCAUGGUGCUGGUAAUGCCAAGGCUGCAGGUUCAAUCCCUGUGUGGGUCCAGUUGCA